rnacentral:rRNA from 1 species
ACGUGAUCUGAGUUCAGACCGGAGCAAUCCAGGUCAGUUUCUAUCUAUAAAGGGCUUCUUCCAGUACGAAAGGACCGAAAAAGCAUGGCCAAUAGUUAACCAAGCCAUUCAACCAACUUAUGUUUCUUACUUAAUUAGUAAUUAGCCUCUCACCUACUUUAAGA